rnacentral:rRNA from 1 species
CAGUCGCCACGGGAAUACGUAGGUGGCAAGCGUUGUCCGGAAUUAUUGGGCGUAAAGGGCUCGCAGGCGGUUUCUUAAGUCUGAUGUGAAAGCCCCUGGCUCAACCGGGGAGGGUCAUUGGAAACUGGGAAACUUGAGUGCAGAAGAGGAGAGUGGAAUUCCACGUGUAGCGGUGGAAUGCGUAGAGAUGUGGAGGAACACCAGUGGCGAAGGCGACUCUCUGGUCUGUAACUGACGCUGAGGAGCGAAAGCGUGGGGAGCGAACAGGAUUAGAUACCCGGGUAGUCCCUGUCUCUUAUAC